rnacentral:lncRNA from 1 species
AGACUCGGGGUGCUGGCAGCGGCAGCCCACGCCUCCCAGGGAUUGCAGGCCUGGGCGCCGGGGUUGGACCAGUCUCCCGGGCAUGGCACGCCCUGGUUAUUCUGUACCCGUGAUUUGUGGCGGGGCAAGACGUUAAGUUGGGUGACACCGAGGUGAGCCACGGUCCUCGGCACCAGAUGAGGAACCACUGUCUCAAUAAGUGACACCAGUGAUGCUGUUAAACAAGGACAAUCCGGUUCAUGGAUUGUGACAACGCACGCUGACAUCAAGCAGACCCUGCCGUCAGCUGAGUGCCAUGAGAGGACAGUGACAACCUUGGGGCCUCAUGGUGAAGGUGGCAGAAACUUUGUUAGCCUGGGUGCUCAGGGUGGACAGCUGCUCUUGCCAACCGGGAACAUUUGCCUUGAGCUCUUUUUCAAAUCAGGUAGUGAUCAAGUCUCAAGGAAGAGAGAAUACAUAUGGCUUCAAAUGCAGGAUCACACUGGAUU